CUCAGAGCAAAGAUCCUUUGGCUCAGAGUGCUGGCGUAACUCGGCGAGUCGGGCAGCAUCUCUGGAGAACACGGACUGGUGACGUUUCCCGUUGGGAUCCUUCUACAGAUUUCAGGGAAUUUGAAGACUUCUGUUUGAAAUUGUUCCUGUUCUCUCUCUUGCCCUCGAAGCUGAACUGUUCAAAUCCAAAGAUGAAUUGCCUUAUGGUCCUGGCAGCUGGUCUCAUUCUCAGUGCCUCUCUGGGUAACUGUUUGCAGUGUUACUCCUGCACAACAUCAGUAAACAGAUGUGUGGAUACUGCUAUUACUUGCCCUCAGGAUAUCGAGCAAUGCUACCUUGGGGUUGGGGAAUUUGGUAGUACUACCUUUUACCAAGCUGGAUGUACUGACCCUGGUUUUUGUAAUAUCCAGCAGAGUGACGGAGAUAUCUCAGUCAAUAUCCAAUGUUGUAAUACUGACCUCUGCAACGCGAGUGACCAAGUUAAAUGAUCUCUUCUGCUGUUCCCUGCUCUGGUCUCAGUCUGGUUUACAAUCUUUAUGUGAAGCAAGUGCAUAAUAAUAAUGCAUAGUGCAAUCGUCUGGGUGCUUUUUCUCUGAUGAUCAGAGAUAACGAGACUUAACACUUGAUUUCCAAGAGAUGAGCAACUUAAUCUAACAGAUGUUCAAAUCUUUUUCUUUUCAAAAUCAGUAACCCUCAUCCCGGUUCAGGAUUAGUUCAUCGAUGGUGGUUAGUUCUACGGAAUUAAUUCUGGAAUUCCUCAAUCUUUCAAUUUACUUUUUGGUUUGUUAUUGAUUUGCAUUAUAUUUUGGAGCUAGUUAUAUACGGCUUCAUUAACUCCAACAGAAGGCUGUGGAGGCCAAGUGAAUUGAUAUUUUUACAGCAGUGAUAGAUAGAUUCUUGAUUAGGACAGGUGUCGGGGGUUAUAUGGAGAAGGCUGGAGAAUGGGGUUAGGAGGGAGAGAUAGAUCGGCCAUGAUUGAAUGGCGGAGUAGACUUGAUGGGCCGAAUGGCCUAGUUCUGCUCCUAUCACCCAAUGCAUGACCUUAUAACACUGUGUUUAUCUCAGGAGGCUAGACAAGCAUGUUAUGAUGGCAGCGCAUGGACAACCUCCUUUAAGUUGACGAAGGCAAAGCUAAUACUUUCAAGAGAGAGCUACAUAGGGCUCCUAAAGAUAGUCAGACUAUAUGGGGAGCAGGCAGGAACGGGAUACUGAUUGGGGAUGAUCAGCCAUGAUCAUAGUGAUUGGCGGUGCUGGCUCGAAGGGCCGAAUGGCCUACUCCUGCACUUAUUGUCUAUUGUCCAAUACACCAUGCUAGAUAUUUGCAAUCCUUUAACAACUUGUAUAAUAAUAAUAAUAAUAAUAAUAAUAAUCAUAUAACUUGGAGCUUGUACCAUUACUCUGUUUAUCUGUUGCCGCAUCUCAAUAAAGUACUGAUUUUCAAAAAAAAA